rnacentral:rRNA from 1 species
AUCUGAAACCCUAUGUUUACAAGCAGACAGAGCGAUUUAAGGCGCGAUGUCGUACUUUUUGUAGAACGGUCCAGCGAGUUAUAGUGCAUGGCAAGGUUAAGUUUUAAGUAAGGAACGGAGCCGAAGCGAAAGCGAGUCUGAAUAGGGCGAAUUAAGUCAUGCGUUAUAGACCCGAAACCGGGUGACCUAUCCAUGGUCAGGAUGAAGCAAGAGUAAAAUCUUGUGGAGGUCCGAACUGAUUGUCGUUAAAAAGGCACCGGAUGAACUGUGGAUAGCGGAGAAAUUCCAAUCGAACUCGGAGAUAGCUGGUUCUCCUCGAAAUAGCUUUAGGGCUAGCCUUGGAGGAAGACGAAUGGAGGUAGAGCACUGAAUGAGGUAGGGGCCUAACCAGGUUACCGAACUCUAUCAAACUCCGAAUGCCAUUCGUUAAUAUCCAGGAGUCAGACUACGGGAGCUAAGUUCCGUGGUCAAAAGGAAAAGAGUCCAGAUCGUCAAUUAAGGUCCCAAAUGGAUAGCUAAGUGG